GGGGGGGGGUGGGGGGGGGGGUGGGGGGGGCGGGGCGGACGGGGGGGCGCGGGUGGUGUGGGGUGCGCGGGUGGCGCGCGGGGGCGUGGACAGUGGGUCGGCUGCCCUUGGGUUUGGGAUAGAUUCCGGGAGCUGGGGCUCAUCCCUGGUAGGCGCUUCGUCUUCCUUGUGGUGGUUGGACAGUUUCGGCGGUUGGGGAUGGACUCGCGGCUUAUCAGAUUGUUGUUGGGGUAGGGGCUUACCAAGGCUUUGACGGGUAGCCGGCCUGAGAGGGUGACCGGCCACAUUGGGACUGAGAUACGGCCCAGACUCCUACGGGAGGCAGCAGUGGGGAAUAUUGCACAAUGGGCGGAAGCCUGAUGCAGCAACGCCGCGUGCGGGAUGACGGCCUUCGGGUUGUAAACCGCUUUCGCCUGUGACGAAGCGUGAGUGACGGUAAUGGGUAAAGAAGCACCGGCUAACUACGUG
rnacentral:rRNA from 1 species